UGGCUGUCCUGGAACUCACUCUGUAGACCAGGCUGGCCUCGAACUCAGAGAUCCGCCUGCUUCUGCCUCCCAAGUGCUGGCAUUAAAGGCGUGCGCCACUACUGCCUGGUGGAAGUCAUUUUUACUAAAGUUAAAGGGUAUAUAUACCAUGUGUCUUCACUAUCUUUAAGAUGACCACUUGGCAUAAAGUAACAAUGGUAAGAUAGCUCAAUCCUACUGAUCCCUUAGUUUAUUACUGUGUAUCUUUUUAGACUAAGGAAGUAACAAGAAGUCUUCAGAUAUUUUUAAAUUUUUGUAUGAUGCUAAAAAUUUAAGGUUAUAAAGGUCUACUCAGAUUAACAAAAACUGAUUUAAGAUGUAUGUUUGACUAAUGUCUUUGCUAACUGUUCAAGCAUCUAGAAAAUUUAAAUAAAUAACAGUAAUAUGUUUGAUAAAUAAGGUAUAUUUGAUAAGAUUUUUAAUUCCUAAGGUCUAUUCAGGUUCACAAUAUAGUAGUCAUGCUAAGUACUAAUGUAAAUAAUUUCUGGAAUAAGCUUUAUUUAGCCUCCUGUACAUGUUCUCAAAGUUAAGCCUAAAACAACUAACUAGAAGCAAGCAAAGUUUGUUAGUUAUGUACUUGAUAGAGAAUGGUCCUCAAAACUUUGAGGAAUCUGCUGAACAUAACAUAUAAAAUGUUUAAUGGAAAUACUUACUAUGACAGACAGAGACCCCAGUGUCUAGAAGUUACCCAAGGUUUCCAGAGAAGAUGAUGGCCACAGAAGAACUCUAUCUGGAGUUUGCUUUAAAUGUGGCAAAGCCAGACACUGGGUGAAAAGCUGCUCUUCACCUCCCCCACUGCAAGGACCCUGUCCAAUCUGGACAAGCAGGACACUGGAGAGUUGACAAGUUAGGCCAGCCCCCCAAGUUCCCAUUCCACAGGGAAAUCUGUCUUCUGGGUCUGGUAGCCGAGGACUGAUGCUGCACUGGGACCCCUCCCCCAGUGAAGUCAAAAUUAUCACAGAGGAGUUGUCAGGUGGUUGUCUAGGUAGCUGGUAAACUUGUCACAUUUAAUCUAUUCAGGAGCUAUUUGGUCUGUACUUCCUGCUUAUUCCUGUGAAAUUUAUCCUUCUCAGAUCUUAGAUGGAAUUGAUGACUGGACUAGUGACAGAUUUGUUAGUUUAACGACCGCAGCCAAGCUUCUGUUGUCUUCUCAGUUCUCUUCAUAUGAAAGAAUCAGGCCUAAGGCCUCACUUUCCUAGGCCUCCAUCUGAGAACCUUGCUACCAGACUAAAAAAAAAAAAAGAAAUAAGCUCACAAAGCAGGUUUUAAAAUAACUUUUUACUAUACCUUUAUUUAAAGGAAGCUGCUUUACAAUGACUGCUGUCAGUAAUCAACUACCUGUUUCUCAUGGUAAAUAAUUGGAUAAAAGAAAUGUAAAGUUUAUAUAAGGAUCCGAGGAUAUGAAACCUUAAGUAACUUGUAAGGUCUAGAAAGUGUUUUAAGGUAUGUAACUAUAAGUCAUAAAGGUCUAAGAAAAUGUGUAAAUGUAAUUUGUAACGGUAUAAGAAAGCAUUUAAGAGACAUGUAAAAAUGAAAAAUGUUUCAGAUUUAUAUUAAGACUUCAAAAGUUUAGAGUUUUAAUAUUAACCAAUGAAGUUCUAAUAAGCUAUUAAUCUAGCUCUGGUAAACACUGACUGAUAUUAUAGUCACAAGCUCAAGAUUUUAAAUUUUCUUUGGUUGUCUUCUAAAUAGAGACUUAGAAGUGCUUCUCAUUGUGCUUUAAAAAAAAACUAUCUAAUCUAUACACACCCAGUGUUCUGGAUAAAGGAAAGAGUGUUAAUGGCCCCCAAAUCAUUUUGGGUCUCAUGCUUUUUCACUAUGUCUUAAAGGUGUGAAUCUGCUGUUCUUUCUACAAUGUGGAUUUCAGUUCAGAUUACAAACAGUAGUAAUGCUAAUAUAUCUAAAACUUAAUCCUGUUUUGUAAACUGAAAAAAUUCUUGUAAGCUUUAGGGUAUAGACAUGGAUCAACUUCUCACAGGUCAAAUGGACUGUCAACCAACAGCCUGUUUCCCUACCUGCCCAUUUCUGAAGGUGGAAUCUCUUCCCCUUUUUCUGGUUUUGGGACUCCCCUCCCCCAAGUACCAGAACCAUGGGCCUAAAAGUUUUAAAUAUAAACCUAAGAAAAAAUUUUCCCCAAACUCUUUAACUUUACCUUCUGUUCCUAAUGUAUAUCUGUUUCAGCAGAUUUCCAAUGGAAGACUGCAAACUACCCCACCUGCUGUCUUUGUGUCCUUAGCCCCAGAUGGUCCUGCAGCCUAGACAGCAAGGGGAACAGCCUGCUCUUCCUGGACUUGGCCAACUUUCUAGCUUUUGGGAUCCCCAACAACAGUGUCCCAAUGUGAGGAAAAGGUAGUCAUAAAUUAUUAUGUUGCCCCUUAUUCAUUUUUUGUCAAGAAAGGGCUGUGGUGUUAAGUUUCAAGCCCAGGACAAGCAGCAGAUGUGCCUAUUAAACAUUUCAAAGCAGACCUGAAACUCCAGGUUCUCCCAGUAUCCUUUAGUCCAUACCUGUUACAGCGUAUGGCUGACAUACCCUACCAUCUACCCUGAACUCUGGCCCAAGGCUGUUCCCUAUAUAAUUUAGACAUGUUAGUUGCCCACUUUCACUUCUUUGUACCUUUAACCUCCUGGCUUCUGUACUUGGUUCCCUUCUUCCCCUUUCACUCUCCCUCUUUCCCACCAGGUUCUGGGCCAUGACCACUCUAGACUCUUCCAGCUGUGUCUGCCUCUGGCUAUGCUCUCUCACAUACCUAUAAUAAACUUUCUCUUCCUCCAUACCUAGGAGCAGUCAUGUCCUUUCCUUUUUAUUUAUGUAUUUCAUUCACUGACCACAGGACAAAUAAAUGCCAGCCAAUACAUCUAGUUCCAGACAAAAAUCACUUUCAGGUCACAAAGGUUGGUAGUAUUUUUAUGUAAAUUAAUCCAUUUAUUGCAGGCUAGGUAAGUCUCAGAUGAUAACAUUUCUACUGGUCUUUCAGUUCCUUGAGUCUUCUGAUGGCAGACUUCAUUGUGAUGGCAGAAUGGUGUUGUAGGUCCAGGCCCUGCAAGAUAUUCUUUUCAUGUAGGAACUGCAGUGCUAGAUGCCAAUGCCUCGUCUCUUCAUCUUGAUCUUGAAGGAGCAAGAGUCCUUGACAGACUGGCUGAUUUCAGUUUUCUUCAUCAUUUUCCAUAUAUUUAACAUAGUGGGUCCCAUAUUCCCCAAUGAUCCCUAUAUUCUAGGUGCCUUUAGCCAUGUCUCAGGAACCAAAAGCCCAAGCCCCAAAAGGAAGAGACACAAUGUACUACUGCUAGUUAUUCUUAUUGACAACUAACCUUUACCAAUUAGGAAAGAAAAAUUAUAUUCAACUGGAGAAAGGCUGAAAAAUAAACAUCACGCUCUGGCUUUAAAUCUGAUGUGUUUCAUAUUUUUAAUCAAUAAAUAUAUUUCCUCC
rnacentral:lncRNA from 1 species